rnacentral:tRNA from 1 species
CGAACAGUGGCUCAAUGGUAGAGCCCCGCUUCGUAUGACGGAAUACCUGGGUUCGAGUCCCUGCUGCUUAU